AGUGUCCGCCUGUCGGUUGCCCCAGAAGGACGUGUCUGCGCGUGUCGGUUUUUGGAAAAAAACUUUGUUACUAUUUUUUAAUUCAGUGAACAUUUACCAACAACCAAAUUUUUAAAUCAUGAAACGUCCCACGGAUUACACGAGAAAUUUUUUGUGAAUUUUUUAUUCAACAUUUUCCGAGAAAUAAAAAAUUUUUAACUUUUACAAAGAAAAUUCGAUUUUUCUGGAGAAAAUGGUGGUCGUGAAAUUAAUUGUGAUUGUUUUAGUGUUGUUGUUGCGGUUGUCUGUCGUCGAUUCGGAUGCUUCUUCUUCGACAGUGAUUCAGCGAUUAAUUGUCCGGCUAGAAGAUCCGUCAUCUCAUCCGUCAUCCGACAAUUGCACACUCUUUUUAAAAUUGGAAAACGUUUGAAAUUUACCUGAAAGAGAAGUUCCAGACGGUCGUUUGCAAAGUAUAGGGCAUGAGUGUCAGUUAAAGUCCCGCUUAGCAAAAGGUAAGAGCGACAAGUCGACUUGUUUGGCUGAGGCGCUUGGACGAUCAAAAUAUGGUUGGGCUGAUUGUAUGUCAACAAGAGGUUACGUUAAUCUUCGCAACGCAGGAAAGGUUUAUACAAAGUCCUAAACUACUAGAAACUCGUCAACUCGGUUUGCACUUCAUCCAGAAGUUUGCCGUCUUCUCCAGUUUUGGUUUCGGGGACAAUUUCUUUUAAAGUGAGAUGUUAGUGAUAAAGUCCAAAAGAAAUCCACGUCCGUCCGUGCAGCGAAAUUUUUCAAACAGUGCACAUAACAUUUUUGUUGCCGUUUUUUGGGGUGUUUAAAACUAGAAUGCCAAAACAUCAUUUUAAAAUUUUUAGCUAAUUUUCCCGUAAUUCUUACAAGGUUGCUCGGUGACUUAGCCGAAGGCCAACGCUUGCAACGCGAGGUCUAGUACUUUUAAAAAGUUCGUCUGCCUGCGUUGCCAAAUCUCAAAUAAAUUGAACCGAUAUUUCUUCUGACUUGGCAACUUUGUAUCUUUGAGUUCGAAGGACGGAACGGAAGGACGAAGUCGAAUGAUCGGAAUGAAGCUUACAAACUUCCCUUACAUUCAUCAAAGUUAACAUCAAUGGAAUGGAAGCUGCAAUUUCAAAUAUCAGUUUUCGAGAAUCCAUCAUCGCAAAUUUAUGGUCAUCUCUAAAUUUCCAAAGGAAAGGCAUUGAUAAACAUGGAUUUCAUUGUUCAAAUAUUCCCAGCCAUUGUGAGAUUUUUUUGACUGGACAUGACUAAAAGGACUUGAGGGAAAAUGUCUGCUGCUGUGUCACCUCUCAAACGGAUCUUUCAACAUGGACUCUACUGGAUGUGUCCUGAAAGAAGAUGGGUGAGUACAAUUUUAAAAGUUUUAAUAAUCUAGUAUGUAUUUGUUUUUUUAAAUACAAAAUUUAAAUUGUA